rnacentral:lncRNA from 1 species
GUUGGAUAGUUUUGUUUAAUCUUGAUUAUUGUUAUACUUACACAAUUAACUAAUUAAAAUUGUCACAUGGUGUCUUCUUAUGUCAUAUAAAUUACAAUGUAUGUUAUUAUUCACAGUUCUGUAGUUUAUUUCGCCAUCGCCAUCUGUAUUUAUAUUAAAUGAUUGUCUAAAAUGUUAACUUGGCAUGCCAUACUUGGUAGAAAUGCGGACGUGAAAGAAAGCACUUUUCACAAAAGUGUCAUCGGAGAUUAAAACAUUCCAGGGCGACGAUUUCGUCAAUUAUGAAACAAAAUAAGUAUAUGCACUGUUUGAGUAUGAACCAGUUAUUAUAUUCAUUCACAAUUACGUUCCCAGAAUUUCUCUGAAGUUUGUCACAGUUCCGUCUAAUUUGGGUCAAAUUUCGACGGUCUGCUAAAAUGUCACUUUAAAUUCAAGAAUAAUGAAUUAUACAGGAAUAUCCUGUUUUCCUGUCUCAAAUAUGUUUAUUUUUCGUCCUGAAGAAACUAGCCAUUAUUAUAGCGUACCAUGAAUACAUUUCCGUCGGAUCCAGUAAAUACCGGAAAUCAUCUCCGGUCCGCAAUUCGGUUAAAAAUUUCGAUGAUUCAAUGAAAACUACCGACGAUUUUUGUCACUUUUUUGAAUUUUUAACUAUGAGCGUACUUACGACCCACUAAAAUAUUUGAACUGCAUCAACAUUUAUGUUCAAGGAAUGUCUGGUAUAA